rnacentral:rRNA from 1 species
GACGGAGGGUGCAAACGUUGUUCGGAAUUACUGGGCGUAAAGCGCGCGUAGGCGGCCCAGCAAGUCGGAUGUGAAAGCCCUGGGCUUAACCUAGGAAGUGCAUUCGAAACUGCUGGGCUUGAGUUCUGGAGAGGAAGGCGGAAUUCUCGGUGUAGAGGUGAAAUUCGUAGAUAUCGAGAGGAACACCGGUGGCGAAGGCGGCCUUCUGGACAGUGACUGACGCUGAGACGCGAAAGCGUGGGGAGCAAACAGG